rnacentral:rRNA from 1 species
GGUUAAGCGACUAAGCGUACACGGUGGAUGCCCUGGCAGUCAGAGGCGAUGAAGGACGUGCUAAUCUGCGAUAAGCGCCGGUAAGGUGAUAUGAACCGUUAUAACCGGCGAUUUCCGAAUGGGGAAACCCAGUGUGAUUCGUCACACUAUCAUUAACUGAAUCCAUAGGUUAAUGAGGCGAACCGGGGGAACUGAAACAUCUAAGUACCCCGAGGAAAAGAAAUCAACCGAGAUUCCCCCAGUAGCGGCGAGCGAACGGGGAGGAGCCCAGAGCCUGAAUCAGCAUGUGUGUUAGUGGAAGCGUCUGGAAAGGCGCGCGAUACAGGGUGACAGCCCCGUACACAAAAGCGCAUGUGCUGUGAGCUCGAUGAGUAGGGCGGGACACGUGGUAUCCUGUCUGAAUAUGGGGGGACCAUCCUCCAAGGCUAAAUACUCCUGACUGACCGAUAGUGAACCAGUACCGUGAGGGAAAGGCGAAAAGAACCCCGGCGAGGGGAGUGAAAAAGAACCUGAAACCGUGUACGUACAAGCAGUGGGAGCCCCACCACUAAGCCAGUGGUGAACUCCACAUACGCAUCCUUUGCUGAGGAUACGGUUAACGGAGCGAAAGCGACGUUCAACCGCAAAAGAAGCAGAGGGGGCUUAGUGGUGGGGUGACUGCGUACCUUUUGUAUAAUGGGUCAGCGACUUAUAUUCUGUAGCAAGGUUAACCGAAUAGGGGAGCCGCAGGGAAACCGAGUCUUAAUUGGGCGUUAAGUUGCAGGGUAUAGACCCGAAACCCGGUGAUCUAGCCAUGGGCAGGUUGAAGGUUGGGUAACACUAACUGGAGGACCGAACCGACUAAUGUUGAAAAAUUAGCGGAUGACCUGUGGCUGGGGGUGAAAGGCCAAUCAAACCGGGAGAUAGCUGGUUCUCCCCGAAAGCUAUUUAGGUAGCGCCUCGUGAAUUCAUCUCCGGGGGUAGAGCACUGUUUCGGCUAGGGGGCCAUCCCGGCUUACCAACCCGAUGCAAACUGCGAAUACCGGAGAAUGUUAUCACGGGAGACACACGGCGGGUGCUAACGUCCGUCGUGAAGAGGGAAACAACCCAGACCGCCAGCUAAGGUCCCAAAGUCAUGGUUAAGUGGGAAACGAUGUGGGAAGGCCCAGACAGCCAGGAUGUUGGCUUAGAAGCAGCCAUCAUUUAAAGAAAGCGUAAUAGCUCACUGGUCGAGUCGGCCUGCGCGGAAGAUGUAACGGGGCUAAACCAUGCACCGAAGCUGCGGCAGCGACGCUGAUGCGUUGUUGGGUAGGGGAGCGUUCUGUAAGCCUGUGAAGGUGUGUCGUGAGGCAUGCUGGAGGUAUCAGAAGUGCGAAUGCUGACAUAAGUAACGAUAAAGCGGGUGAAAAGCCCGCUCGCCGGAAGACCAAGGGUUCCUGUCCAACGUUAAUCGGGGCAGGGUGAGUCGACCCCUAAGGCGAGGCCGAAAGGCGUAGUCGAUGGGAAACGGGUUAAUAUUCCCGUACUUGGUGUUACUGCGAAGGGGGGACGGAGAAGGCUAUGUUGGCCGGGCGACGGUUGUCCCGGUUUAAGCGUGUAGGUGUGUGUUCCAGGUAAAUCCGGUUCACUUUAACACUGAGGCGUGAUGACGAGGCACUACGGUGCUGAAGCAACAAAUGCCCUGCUUCCAGGAAAAGCCUCUAAGCAUCAGGUAACAUCAAAUCGUACCCCAAACCGACACAGGUGGUCAGGUAGAGAAUACCAAGGCGCUUGAGAGAACUCGGGUGAAGGAACUAGGCAAAAUGGUGCCGUAACUUCGGGAGAAGGCACGCUGACACGUAGGUGAAGUGAUUUACUCAUGGAGCUGAAGUCAGUCGAAGAUACCAGCUGGCUGCAACUGUUUAUUAAAAACACAGCACUGUGCAAACACGAAAGUGGACGUAUACGGUGUGACGCCUGCCCGGUGCCGGAAGGUUAAUUGAUGGGGUCAGCGCAAGCGAAGCUCCUGAUCGAAGCCCCGGUAAACGGCGGCCGUAACUAUAACGGUCCUAAGGUAGCGAAAUUCCUUGUCGGGUAAGUUCCGACCUGCACGAAUGGCGUAAUGAUGGCCAGGCUGUCUCCACCCGAGACUCAGUGAAAUUGAACUCGCUGUGAAGAUGCAGUGUACCCGCGGCAAGACGGAAAGACCCCGUGAACCUUUACUAUAGCUUGACACUGAACAUUGAGCCUUGAUGUGUAGGAUAGGUGGGAGGCUUUGAAGUGUGGACGCCAGUCUGCAUGGAGCCGACCUUGAAAUACCACCCUUUAAUGUUUGAUGUUCUAACGUGGACCCGUAAUCCGGGUUGCGGACAGUGUCUGGUGGGUAGUUUGACUGGGGCGGUCUCCUCCUAAAGAGUAACGGAGGAGCACGAAGGUUGGCUAAUCCUGGUCGGACAUCAGGAGGUUAGUGCAAUGGCAUAAGCCAGCUUGACUGCGAGCGUGACGGCGCGAGCAGGUGCGAAAGCAGGUCAUAGUGAUCCGGUGGUUCUGAAUGGAAGGGCCAUCGCUCAACGGAUAAAAGGUACUCCGGGGAUAACAGGCUGAUACCGCCCAAGAGUUCAUAUCGACGGCGGUGUUUGGCACCUCGAUGUCGGCUCAUCACAUCCUGGGGCUGAAGUAGGUCCCAAGGGUAUGGCUGUUCGCCAUUUAAAGUGGUACGCGAGCUGGGUUUAGAACGUCGUGAGACAGUUCGGUCCCUAUCUGCCGUGGGCGCUGGAGAACUGAGGGGGGCUGCUCCUAGUACGAGAGGACCGGAGUGGACGCAUCACUGGUGUUCGGGUUGUCAUGCCAAUGGCACUGCCCGGUAGCUAAAUGCGGAAGAGAUAAGUGCUGAAAGCAUCUAAGCACGAAACUUGCCCCGAGAUGAGUUCUCCCUGAGACUUUAAGUCUCCUGAAGGAACGUUGAAGACGACGACGUUGAUAGGCCGGGUGUGUAAGCGCAGCGAUGCGUUGAGCUAACCGGUACUAAUGAACCGUGAGGCUUAACCUU